UUGGAGGGCAAGUCUGGUGCCAGCAGCCGCGGUAAUUCCAGCUCCAAUAGCGUAUAUUAAAGUUGUUGCAGUUAAAAAGCUCGUAGUUGAACCUUGGGCCUGGCUGGCCGGUCCGCCUCACCGCGUGUACUGGUCCGGCCGGGCCUUUCCUUCUGGGGAACCUCAUGCCCUUCACUGGGCGUGUUGGGGAACCAGGACUUUUACUUUGAAAAAAUUAGAGUGUUCAAAGCAGGCCUUUGCUCGAAUACAUUAGCAUGGAAUAAUAGAAUAGGACGUGUGUU
rnacentral:rRNA from 1 species